UACGUAGGGUGCAAGCGUUAAUCGGAAUUACUGGGCGUAAAGCGUGCGCAGGCGGUUAUGUAAGACAGAUGUGAAAUGCCCGGGCUUAACCUGGGAACUGCAUUUGUGACUGCAUGGCUAGAGUUUGGCAGAGGGGGGUAGAAUUCCACGUGUAGCAGUGAAAUGCGUAGAUAUGUGGAGGAACACCGAUGGCGAAGGCAGCCCCCUGGGCCAAGACUGACGCUCAUGCACGAAAGCGUGGGGAGCAA
rnacentral:rRNA from 1 species